rnacentral:rRNA from 1 species
UACGGGAGGCAGCAGUGGGGAAUAUUGCACAAUGGGCGCAAGCCUGAUGCAGCCAUGCCGCGUGUAUGAAGAAGGCCUUCGGGUUGUAAAGUACUUUCAGUCGUGAGGAAGGUGUUAAGGUUAAUAACCUUAGCAAUUGACGUUAGCGACAGAAGAAGCACCGGCUAACUCCGUGCCAGCAGCCGCGGUAAUACGGAGGGUGCGAGCGUUAAUCGGAAUUACUGGGCGUAAAGGGCACGCAGGCGGUUAAUUAAGUUGGAUGUGAAAUCCCCGGGCUUAACCUGGGAAUGGCAUUCAAGACUGGUUAGCUAGAGUCUUGUAGAGGGGGUAGAAUUCCAUGUGUAGCGGUGAAAUGCGUAGAGAUGUGGAGGAAUACCGGUGGCGAAGGCGGCCCCUGGACAAAGACUGACGCUCAUGUGCGAAAGCGUGGGGAGCAAACAGGGAUUAGGAUACC